rnacentral:pre_miRNA from 1 species
ACAACAUUCGGACCGUCGCCGCGUCGGUCUACCGUGCAAUAUCACUCGCUCGAUGGAAGAUCUUUCCUUUGUCGU